rnacentral:rRNA from 1 species
AUCGAAGCAGUGAACUUAAGCCCCAGUAAACGGCGGCCGUAACUAUAACGGUCCUAAGGUAGCGAAAUUCCUUGUCGGGUAAGUUCCGACCCGCACGAAAGGCGUAACGAUUUGGGCACUGUCGCAACAACAGACUCGGUGAAAUUGUAAUUCCGGUGAAGAUGCCGGAUACCUGCGACAGGACGGAAAGACCCCAUGGAGCUUUACUGUAGCUUGACAUUGGGUCUUGGGACUACAUGUACAGGAUAGG